UUUUAGCAAUAUUCCAGCAAUAUCACGGCGGGGGUCACCGGAAAUGGGCUUCAGACAGUGUACCCAUUGAAUCGAACCCCGGUCCAUUUCAGCGUGACGAGCAGA